rnacentral:lncRNA from 1 species
AAAUCCAUUAAACUCUGAGUAUAUUCAAGUUACUUCUUUUACUAACAAGUGAUAUUGAGUAUAUCCUUUUAAGUUACAACACUAACAUUCAAAACUCAUAUAUAAUAAGAAACAUGAUUACACAAAGUAUCAUUACUAAAGCUCCACAGAAACAAAGCAGUAACAUCAUCAAUGCAAAUAAUGGGUGAAAUUGGUUAUCACUAGGCUAAACAAAGACAUCUCUCCCAGUCUCAACCAUUCCCAAGGUUGUUUCAAUUCUUGUGUUUCAAUGCAUCACAGUAGCCACGAGAAAAGAAGUUAACCAUAAAAAUCAAAGUGUUUCCUUGAACAAGCAAAUAAAAC